ensembl:snoRNA SNORD10 small nucleolar RNA, C/D box 10
GCUCUAUGAUGAACCCCAUGCGUGUCAUCUGAGCCUGGCUUCCCUGUCAUCUUAGCCCAGGUAGUGUUCUACUUCCUAGGGCUGCUGCUGUCUGGCUUCCAGGGAGGUCCCAGGCAAAGGAUCAGUCCUUGUAUUCUGAGAGC